rnacentral:rRNA from 1 species
UACGUAGGUGGCAAGCGUUGUCCGGAUUUACUGGGCGUAAAGAGCGCGCAGGCGGUCGUUCAAGUCGCGUGUGAAAGCCCCCGGCUCAACUGGGGAGGGUCACGCGAUACUGAUCGACUCGAAGGCAGGAGAGGGUAGUGGAAUUCCCGGUGUAGUGGUGAAAUGCGUAGAUAUUGGGAGGAACACCAGUGGCGAAGGCGGCUCACUGGACUGGUACUGACGCUGAGGCGCGAAAGCGUGGGGAGCGAACAGG